rnacentral:rRNA from 1 species
ACACUCCUGCGGGAGGCAGCAGUGGGGAAUAUUGCACAAUGGGCGCAAGCCUGAUGCAGCCAUGCCGCGUGUAUGAAGAAGGCCUUCGGGUUGUAAAGUACUUUCAGCGGGGAGGAAGGCGAUAAGGUUAAUAACCUUGUCGAUUGACGUUACCCGCAGAAGAAGCACCGGCUAACUCCGUGCCAGCAGCCGCGGUAAUACGGAGGGUGCAAGCGUUAAUCGGAAUUACUGGGCGUAAAGCGCACGCAGGCGGUCUGUCAAGUCGGAUGUGAAAUCCCCGGGCUCAACCUGGGAACUGCAUUCGAAACUGGCAGGCUAGAGUCUUGUAGAGGGGGGUAGAAUUCCAGGUGUAGCGGUGAAAUGCGUAGAGAUCUGGAGGAAUACCGGUGGCGAAGGCGGCCCCCUGGACAAAGACUGACGCUCAGGUGCGAAAGCGUGGGGAGCAAACAGGAUUAGAUACCCGUGUAGUCCCAUG